AGAGUUUGAUCCUGGCUCAGAAUCAACGCUGGCGGCGUGCCUCAGACAUGCAAGUCGAACGAUUAAAGCUCUCUUCGGAGAGUGUAUAGAGUGGCGCACGGGUGAGUAACACGUAAGUAAUCUACCUUUGAGUGGGGAAUAACGUUCGGAAACGAACGCUAAUACCGCAUAAUGCAGCGGCACCGCAAGGUGACAGUUGUUAAAGGAGCAAUUCGCUUGAAGAGGAGCUUGCGGCAGGUUAGCUUGUUGGUAAGGUAACGGCUUACCAAGGCUACGAUCUGUAACCGGUCUUAGAGGACGGUCGGUCACACUGACACUGAAUAACGGGUCAGACUCCUACGGGAGGCAGCAGUCGGGAAUUUUGGGCAAUGGGCGAAAGCCUGACCCAGCAACGCCGCGUGAAGGAUGAAGUAUUUCGGUAUGUAAACUUCGAAAGAAUAGGAAGAAUUAAUGACGGUACUAUUUAUAAGGUCCGGCUAACUACGUGCCAGCAGCCGCGGUAAUACGUAGGGACCAAGCGUUGUUCGGAUUUACUGGGCGUAAAGGGCGCGUAGGCGGCGCUGUAAGUCACUUGUGAAAUCUCCGGGCUUAACUCGGAACGGUCAAGUGAUACUGCAGUGCUAGAGUGCGGAAGGGGCAAUCGGAAUUCUUGGUGUAGCGGUGAAAUGCAGAUAUCAAGAGGAACACCUGAGGUGAAGACGGGUUGCUGGGCCGACACUGACGCUGACAGCGCGAAAGCCAGGGGAGCAAACGGGAUUAGAUACCCUAGUAGUCC
rnacentral:rRNA from 1 species